rnacentral:rRNA from 1 species
CUACGGGUGGCUGCAGUGGGGAAUAUUGGACAAUGGGGGAAACCCUGAUCCAGCAAUGCCGCGUGUGUGAAGAAGGCCUGCGGGUUGUAAAGCACUUUCGGUUGGGAGGACUGCUUCUAGCACUAAUAUUGUUGGAAGUUGACGUUACCCUCAGAAGAAGCACCGGCUAACUCCGUGCCAGCAGCCGCGGGUAAUACGGAGGGUGCAAGCGUUAAUCGGAAUUACUGGGCGUAAAGCGCGCGUAGGCGGCUAGAUCAGUCGGGUGUGAAAGCCCCGGGCUUAACCUGGGAACUGCAUCCGAUACUGUCUAGCUUGAGUACAGGAGAGGAGAGUGGAAUUCCACAUGUAGCGGUGAAAUGCGUAGAUAUGUGGAGGAACACCAAUGGCGAAGGCAGCUCUCUGGCCUGAUACUGACGCUGAGGUGCGAAAGCGUGGGGAGCAAACAGGAUUAGAUACCCGCGUAGUC